rnacentral:rRNA from 1 species
AGAGUUUGAUCCUGGCUCAGAACGAACGCUGGCGGCAUGCCUAACACAUGCAAGUCGAACGAGACCUUCGGGUCUAGUGGCGCACGGGUGCGUAACGCGUGGGAAUCUGCCCUCUGGUACGGAAUAACUCAGGGAAACUUGAGCUAAUACCGUAUAAUGACUUCGGUCCAAAGAUUUAUCGCCUGAGGAUGAGCCCGCGUCGGAUUAGCUAGUUGGUGAGGUAAAAGCUCACCAAGGCGACGAUCCGUAGCUGGUCUGAGAGGAUGAUCAGCCACACUGGGACUGAGACACGGCCCAGACUCCUACGGGAGGCAGCAGUGGGGAAUAUUGGACAAUGGGCGAAAGCCUGAUCCAGCAAUGCCGCGUGAGUGAUGAAGGCCUUAGGGUUGUAAAGCUCUUUUACCCGGGAUGAUAAUGACAGUACCGGGAGAAUAAGCCCCGGCUAACUCCGUGCCAGCAGCCGCGGUAAUACGGAGGGGGCUAGCGUUGUUCGGAAUUACUGGGCGUAAAGCGCACGUAGGCGGCUUUGUAAGUUAGAGGUGAAAGCCCGGGGCUCAACUCCGGAAUUGCCUUUAAGACUGCAUCGCUAGAAUUGUGGAGAGGUAAGUGGAAUUCCGAGUGUAGAGGUGAAAUUCGUAGAUAUUCGGAAGAACACCAGUGGCGAA